UACGUAGGCAGCGAGCGUUUGUUCGGAGUUACUGGGCGUAAAGGGUGUGUAGGCGGUUUUCUAAGUCUGGUGUGAAAUCUCCCGGCUCAACUGGGAGGGUGCGCCGAAAACUGGAAGGCUAGAGUGCGGGAUGGGUAAGUGGAAUUCCUGGUGUAGCGGUGAAAUGCGUAGAUAUCAGGAGGAACACCUGUGGUGUAGACGGCUUACUGGACCGCAACUGACGCUGAAACACGAAAGCGUGGGUAGCAAACAGG
rnacentral:rRNA from 1 species